UAACUCUGUGGCAGGUCCAAUGU
rnacentral:misc_RNA from 1 species